rnacentral:rRNA from 1 species
GAUGAACGCUGGCGGCGUGCCUAAUACAUGCAAGUCGAGCGAACGGACGAGAAGCUUGCUUCUCUGAUGUUAGCGGCGGACGGGUGAGUAACACGUGGAUAACCUCCCUAUAAGACUGGGAUAACUUCGUGAAACCGGAGCUAAUACCGGAUAAUAUUUUGAACCGCAUGGUUCAAAAGUUAAAGACGGUCUUGCUGUCACUUAUAGAUGGAUCCGCUCUGCAUUAGCUAGUUGGUGAGGUAACGGCUUACCAAGGCAACGAUGCAUAGCCGACCUGAGAGGGUGAUCGGCCACACUGGAACUGAGACACGGUCCAGACUCCUACGGGAGGCAGCAGUAGGGAAUCUUGCGCAAUGGGCGAAAGCCUGACGGAGCAACGCCGCGUGAAUGAUGAAGGUCUUCGGAUCGUAAACCUCUGUUAUUAGGGAAGAACAUAUGUGUAAGUAACUGUGCACAUCUUGACGGUACCUAAACAGAAAGCCACGGCUAACUACGUG